AUGGUGUUGCUUGACGUCAGGGGUAUGUUGCAAUCCAUGGGCAAAGACAUAGCUGAUUUCGCUCUUCCAUGCAUUGACGGUGCGUUCGACCCAACCGAGGGCGAGGCCAGAGAAGUGAUCGAGGAAUCCAACGUCGAUUUUGACAUCAACGACACUAAAUUGGCAUCAUCGCUUAACUUGGAGCAGAGGGUUGCAUAUGACGAGAUACUAGCUGCUGUUGAACGCGGUGAUGGGGGUGUGUUCUUUGUUGAUGGCCCGGGAGGUACAGGGAAGACCUUCCUGUACAGGGCGCUGCUCGCCAAAGUUCGAAGCAAGGGAAACAUCGCUAUCGCUACCGCGACGUCAGGUGUUGCCGCUUCUAUCAUGCCUGGAGGCAGGACUGCCCACUCGAGGUUCAAGAUCCCAUUG
rnacentral:rRNA from 1 species